GACGAACGCUGGCGGCGUGCUUAACACAUGCAAGUCGAACGGAAAGGCCCUGCUUUUGUGGGGUGCUCGAGUGGCGAACGGGUGAGUAACACGUGAGUAACCUGCCCUUGACUUUGGGAUAACUUCAGGAAACUGGGGCUAAUACCGGAUAGGAGCUCCUGCUGCAUGGUGGGGGUUGGAAAGUUUCGGCGGUUGGGGAUGGACUCGCGGCUUAUCAGCUUGUUGGUGGGGUAGUGGCUUACCAAGGGUUUGACGGGUAGCCGGCCUGAGAGGGUGACCGGCCAAAGUGGGACGGAGAGACGGACCAGACUACUACGGGAGGAAGCAGUGGGGAAGAGUGCACAAUGGGCGGAAGCCUGAUGCAGCAACGCCGCGUGCGGGAUGACGGCCUUCGGGUUGUAAAACGCUUUCGCCUGUGACGAAGCGUGAGUGACGGUAAUGGGUAAAGAAGCACCGGCUAACUACGUG
rnacentral:rRNA from 1 species